UUUAUCUAUACUAUACUAGGUUUCAGUGAUUUCGUGCUUGAUUAUUGAUGAUUGUAACAGAAGAUUCAAUGUUGGGUGAAAAUUGAAGACGCCAUAGGAAUUCUCAAGCUAAUAUCCCCCAUUUUUGUCCCCUGUUUCCAAACAUGCCCCCCUUAAAACCCAUCGUGCCUUCCGUCUUCCAUUGCAAAUGAAGAGUCGCAUUCCGGCGGUUUCCAUCACCCCCUCUAUGCUAUAAUUCUUUGAACUCAAUUGAACGGUAAAACAUAUCCCAUAUUAUCGAUGAGAGAGAGAGAGAAACGUCAGAGAGAAGAAUUGGGGAAAAUCGGCGAGGAUAAAAGGAAUCACCAGCGAGCGACUAUUCUGACCACUAGGUUGUACCGGUGGAGAGCCUAGGUUGAGGCGAAUCACCGGCAACGAUUUCAGCACCAGAUGGUUCAAGUCAACUUAUGAGCCGAAUUCUGAGUAUCUUGAUGAUGACGAUAGUAGCUUUGAAGGUGACGGGGAAGAAACUACAGGUAAGGUCCCAAAUCUUGAAACAGGAGCUGAAAAUAGUGUUGACAUAGAGUGUAAACAAUCACUCAAUAUUGAAGAUUACGGCCCGUUUCUUCCUUGCGCUUAGAAAAUGGUGCCCGGAUCUCCAACUGAGAGGGAGUUUCGAGUCUUCAUACGCAACAACGUCUUAGUUGGAAUCUCCCAACGGGAAGUCAACACGUUUUACCCGAUUCUGACCGAGAAGAAGCAUGAUAUGGAAAAGGUGAUAGACGAGUUUUAUAUGGACAAGGUGAGCAUGGGAUUUGAGUCGGAAAGUUACACGCUUGAUGUUUAUGUUCGAAAGGAUAUGAAAGUCAAGCUUUUGGAUUUCAAUCCGUGGUGUGAGAUUACGUUGCCAUUGCUGUUCACAUGGGCGGAACUGGAAUCGGAGCAGUUGAUGAGGGAACCAGAGUUUAGGAUUGUGGAGAGCCAAUUUGGGGUGAGACCGGGGUUGAAAACUGCGGUUCCAUAUGGUUAUCUGGAUACAAGUGAAGGGAGUGGUUGGGGCAUUAUUUGUGUCUUCCACUACACAUGAUCUUAGAAUUUAUAUAUAAAAAAAAAAAAAAAAAAACUCAACUACAACUCUAAGUAAUAUGCAAUUCGUUUUUAACUUAGGCAACCAUCGUCAUUCUCGCUAACUCUAACGCCACUUGCGCUCAAUGUCACAAAUUGAGGAGAAAUUAGAGGUAAAACUACGGGAAGUUAAUGGCGCCGCCAAGGAUAAUCCGUGUAUACGAGGAUAGCAUGACGAAAGUGAUUUUACCGAUUCACGAGGAAUCUUUACAAUGCAUCCAUGAAGCUUCAAGAGCCGAAUCUCUGAAAUCUUUUGACGAACAACAUUUUGGCCGUCACCAUGCCAAGAAAUCUGUUGAAGCACUCGAUGAAGAUAUUGAAAAGGUAAAAAUAUGUUUAAGAAUUUUAUGAUGGCAAACCAAUAUCAGUCGUCAAAACUGUGUGAGGCACUGCAUAUAAAGUGCGAGGACCAAAUGGACCAACUUCAAGUACUCAGACUACUGUCCAUGGCCAAGUUCAAUGCAACCAAAGUUUUGGAAAAGAGUGCGUUGGGCCAUCUAAAACCAUAUAUGCUUUUUGUCUUCAACAUUCUCGGUAUCAAUAAACUAUCGUCGUUUCAUUCGUAAAGACAUCUGUUUAAGGUGACUGGACCACUUUUUGUGAAUGUGCAGAUGAUGGGAAAGUCGAAGUCAUCGUUUAUAAAGGAAUACAAUCACAGGCUAUUUAAUUGGUUGGUGGCCUUUUCACUUGUAAUGGUGAUCGUGGGUCGUUUUAUCAUAAAGUUCGAGUCAACCCCAACACGACCCGUUUAACCUUGCAAAAGAAUGAUAAGAUUUUUAUGUAUAACUUGCUGCUUAAAUUUGAUUCACUGAUCUGUUAAAUUCGUGACAUUACAUCUUACUUGAGUAGGUUUUAUGCUUUAAUAUCCUAUUUAUGUUAAAUUUUAGGAAAUUGACAUUUUGUUUUA